rnacentral:rRNA from 1 species
CUUGACCGCUGGCGGCAGGCCUAACACAUGCAACUGCAACGCGCGGCGGCCGGGUCCGUAAUGUCUGGGCCACUGCCCUAUGGUGGGGUAUCACUACUGGCACCGGUAGCUAAUACCGCAUAACAUCGGAUGUGCACAGAUGGGCUUAGCUAGUAGGUGGGGUCACGGCCCACCUAGGCGACGAUCCCUAGCUGGUCUGAGAGGAUGACCAGCCACACUGGAACGGAGACACGGUCCAGACGCCUACGGGAGGCAGCAGUGGGGAAUAUUGCACAAUGGGCGCAAUCCUGAUGCAGCCAAGCCGCGUGUAUGAAGAAGGCCUUCGGGUUGUAAGGGUCGGUUAGGGAGGAGGCGGUACGCGCAGAGGAAGCACCGGCUAACUCCGGGCCAGCAGCCGCGGUAAUAC